rnacentral:tRNA from 1 species
GGGGAUGUGACUCAGUGGUAGAGCACUUGCCUAUCAUGUGGGAAGCACUGGGUUCAAUCCCCAGCACCACA